UACAUGGAUUUAUUGUGAAGGUGUAGACUAUAUUACAUGGAUUUAUUGUGAAGGUGUAGACUAUAUUACAAGGAUGUAUUGUGAAGGUGUAGGCUAUAUUACAUGGAUUUAUUGUGAAGGUGUAGGCUAUAUUACAUGGAUUUAUUGUGAAGGUGUAGACUAUAUUACAUGGAUUUAUUGUGAUGGUGUAGGUAGACUAUAUUACAUGGAUUUAUUGUGAAGGUGUAGGCUAUAUUACAUGGAUUUAUUGUGAAGGUGUAGGCUAUAUUACAUGGAUUUAUUGUGAAGGUGUAGGCUAUAUUACAUGGAUUUAUUGUGAAGGUGUAGGCUAUAUUACAUGGAUUUAUUGUGAAGGUGUAGGCUAUAUUACAUGGAUUUAUUGUGAAGGUGUAGGCUAUAUUACAUGGAUUUAUUGUGAUGGUGUAGGCUAUAUUACAUGGAUUUAUUGUGAAGGUGUAGGCUAUAUUACAUGGAUUUAUUGUGAUGGUGUAGG